CAAGUCUCAGUACCAGACUGUAUUAAAGUGAAACCGCAAAAGGCUCAGUAAACCAGUUUUGAUUCACUUGAGUAAACUUGACUGUCUUUGGAUAACUGUGGUAAUUCUAGAGCUAAUACAUGCAACAAAGCCCUGACCUCUCAUGGAAAGGGCGCUUUUAUUAGAUCAAAACCAUUCGCCCGGCUUGCCCGGGCGUAUGCUUGAUGAACCUAGAUAACACAUCAGAUCGUAUGGUCUCAGAGCCGACGACUUAUCUUUCAAAUGCCUGACUUAUCAACUGUCGAUGGUAGACUCUGUGUCUACCAUGGCUCCUACGGGUAACGGGGAAUCAGGGUUCGAUUCCGGAGAGGGAGCCUGAGAAACGGCUACCACAUCCAAGGAAGGCAGCAGGCACGCAAAUUACCCACUCCCGGCACGGGGAGGUAGUGACAAAAAAUAACGAUACGGGACUCUUUUGAGGCCUCGUAAUCGGAAUGAGUACACUUUAAAUCCUUUAACAAGGAUCCAUUGGAGGGCAAGUCUGGUG
rnacentral:rRNA from 1 species